AUAAUACAGAAAUGUCAACCUUCUGAGAAGUAUGUUAAUUUAUGCACUCGAUACACGGUCGCGGCUCUUUUUGCCCGAAUUACUGCAUUGAUGCGGCAUGGCAUGGAGACAAUCAGCCUGUGGCACUGCUGAGGUGUUCUGGAAGCCCAGGUUGGUUUGAUAGCGGCCUUCAGCUCGUCUGUAUUGGGUCUGGUGUCUUUCAUAGAUUCUCUAUGGGGUUCGGGUCAGGUGAGUUGGCUGUCCAAUCAAGCACAGUAAUACCACGAUCAGCAAACCAGUUACUAGUAGUUUCGGCACUGUGGGCAGUGCCUUUUCCUCCUGGAAAAGGAAAUCAGCAUCUCCUGAAAGCUUGUCAGCAGAUGGAAGCAUGAAGUGCUCUAAAAUCUCCUGGUAGAUGCUGCAUCGACUCUCGACUUGAGAAAACACAGUGGACCAACAUCAGCAGAUGACAUGGCAACCCAAAUCAUCACUGACUGUGGAAACUUCACACUGGACUUCAAGCAACUUGGACUCUGUGCCUCUCCACUCUUCCUCCAGGCUCUGGGACCUUGAUUUCCAAAUGAAAUGCGACAUUUACUUUCAUCUUCCCCAUGAUUGUGGUUGUGUGUACUGAACCAGACGGAGAGAUUAAAGCCUCAGGAAACCUUUGCAGGUGAAGUGAAUAACAUUGAUCAUCUCAUUAUAAUGCCAGCUGUCAAGGGGUGGGUUAUAUUAGGCAGCAAGUGAACAGUCAGUUCUCAAAGUUGAUAAAUGGGCAAGUGUAAAGAUCUGGGUGACUUUGAGAGGGGCGAAACUGUGAUGGCUAGACUCCAGCUCCAAAACCGCAGGUCUUGUGGGGUGUUUCCAGUACUGGUGAACCAGUGACAGGUUCAUAGGCGCCCAAGGCUCAUUGAUGUACUUGGGGAGCAAAUGCUAGCCUGUCUGGUCCGAUCCCAUAGAAGAGCUACUCUAGAAUACUGUAUGUAUAUGAAGGCUGAAGGCUUACGUUCCCUCACACAAUCUGCGAUCGAUCAGUGACCGACACUUAGUAGUGCCUACUCUGCAUGGCUCAAGGUCCCUUUCCAAAACCUUCAACCUAUCUGUCCCUCAGUGGUGGAAUGAACUUCCAACCUCAAUCCGGACGACAGAAUCUGUCACUAGCUGUAAAAAACAGCUAAAGAUCCAACUCUUCCAUGAUCACCUAACCAAAAAAAACCUUACUCUGGCUCUUAUUAAAUAUCUUGUAUUGUAGCGCUACUUAUAUUGUUCUCUGCUUGAUAUAUCGCUUUGCUUGUAUUUUCUCAUUGGCAAGUUGCUUUGAAUAAAAGCGUCUGCUAAUUGAAUAAAUGUAAAUGUAUAUGUACAGGGAUUCAUGAUUCAUGGCUUAUUCAUGGCAUACUGUACUUGUCAUGACUGCGGUCUUUUUGACAGCAUUUUGAUCAAGCAAACAGACUUUUAGAUGUGUUAUUAGAUUGUUACACCUGCUGGCUUCAGCUGGUCAUGAUCAGGUUAUUGUUAAUCAAAGACUUCAUCUGGAAAAC
ensembl:lncRNA